rnacentral:rRNA from 1 species
UACGGAGGGUGCAAGCGUUUGUCCGGAAUCACUGGGCGUAAAGGGCGCGUAGGCGGCUCAUGAAGGCUGUGGUGAAAGUCCGGGGCUCAACCUCGGAUCGGCCGUGGCGACUCGUGGGCUGGAGCACUGUAGAGGCGGGUGGAAUUCCGGGUGUAGCGGUGGAAUGCGGAGAGAUCCGGAAGAACACCAGUGGCGAAGGCGGCCCGCUGGGCAGUGGCUGACGCUGAGGCGCGACAGCGUGGGGGAGCAAACAGGG